UGGAAUUCUCCGUGCCUUCCAGGUGAGC
rnacentral:piRNA from 1 species